AUUGAACGCUGGCGGCAGGCCUAACACAUGCAAGUCGAGCGAGGGGCGGACGGGUGAGUAAUGUAUGGGGACUGCCCGAUAGAGGGGGAUAACUACUGGAAACGGUGGCUAAUACCGCAUACUAUCGGAUAACCCAUAUGGGAUGAGCUAGUAGGUGGGGGAAAGGCUCACCUAGGCGACGAUUUCUAGCUGGUCUGAGAGGAUGAUGAGCCACCCUGGGACUGAGACACGGCCCAGACUACUACGGAGGCAGCAGUGGGGAAUAGUGCACAGUGGGCGCAAGCCUUAUGCAGCCAUGCCGCGUGUAUGAAGAAGGCCUUAGGGGUGUAAAGAACUUUCAGCGGGGAGGCGUUACCCGCAGAAGAAGCACCGGCUAACUCCGUGCCAGCCGCCGCGGUAAUAC
rnacentral:rRNA from 1 species